rnacentral:rRNA from 1 species
ACAGCCAUACCAUGUGGAAAACACCAGUUCUCAUCUGAUCACCGAAGUUAAACAAUAUCAGGUCUAGUCAGUACUUGGGAGGUGACCUGAAGUUGCCAGAUACA